rnacentral:rRNA from 1 species
CUUCCACAAUGGGCGCAAGCCUGAUGGAGCAGCACGCGUGAGUGAAGAAGGGUUUCGGCUCGUAAAGCUCUGUUGUUAAAGAAGAACACGUAUGAGAGUAACUGUUCAUACGUUGACGGUAUUUAACCAGAAAGUCACGGCUAACUACGUGCCAGCAGCCGCGGUAAUACGUAGGUGGCAAGCGUUAUCCGGAUUUAUUGGGCGUAAAGAGAGUGCAGGCGGUUUUCUUAAGUCUGAUGUGAAAGCCUUCGGCUUGACCGGAGAAGUGCAUCGGAAACUGGAUAACUUGAGUGCAGAAGAGGGUAGUGGAACUCCAUGUGUAGCGGUGGAAUGCGUAGAUAUAUGGAAGAACACCAGUGGCGAAGGCGGCUACCUGGUCUGCAACUGACGCUGAGACUCGAAAGCAUGGGUAGCGAACAGGAUUAGAUACCCUGGUAG